UGGGGAAUAUUGGACAAUGGGCGAAAGCCUGAUCCAGCCAUGCCGCGUGUGUGAAGAAGGUCUUCGGAUUGUAAAGCACUUUAAGUUGGGAGGAAGGGCAGUUACCUAAUACGUGAUUGUUUUGACGUUACCGACAGAAUAAGCACCGGCUAACUCUGUGCCAGCAGCCGCGGUAAUACAGAGGGUGCAAGCGUUAAUCGGAAUUACUGGGCGUAAAGCGCGCGUAGGUGGUUUGUUAAGUUGGAUGUGAAAUCCCCGGGCUCAACCUGGGAACUGCAUUCAAAACUGACUGACUAGAGUAUGGUAGAGGGUGGUGGAAGUUCCUGUGUAGCGGUGAAAUGCGUAGAUAUAGGAAGGAACACCAGUGGCGAAGGCGACCACCUGGACUAAUACUGACACUGAGGUGCGAAAGCGUGGGGAGCAAACA
rnacentral:rRNA from 1 species